rnacentral:rRNA from 1 species
UUUGAGACCGGCGCACGGGUGCGUAACGCGUAUGCAAUCUACCUUGUACAGGGGAAUAGCCCAGAGAAAUUUGGAUUAAUGCCCCAUAGUAUAUAACCUUCGCAUNUUGGUUAUAUUAAAGUUNCAACGGUACAAGAUGAGCAUGCGUCCCAUUAGUUAGUUGGUAAGGUAACGGCUUACCAAGACGAUGAUGGGUAGGGGUCCUGAGAGGGAGAUCCCCCACACUGGUACUGAGACACGGACCAGACUCCUACGGGAGGCAGCAGUGAGGAAUAUUGGUCAAUGGUCGCAAGACUGAACCAGCCAUGCCGCGUGCAGGAAGACGGUCCUAUGGAUUGUAAACUGCUUUUAUACAGGAAGAAACCCUCCCACGUGUGGGAGCUUGACGGUACUGUAGGAAUAAGGAUCGGCUAACUCCGUGCCAGCAGCCGCGGUAAUACGGAGGAUCCAAGCGUUAUCCGGAAUCAUUGGGUUUAAAGGGUCCGUAGGCGGUCUUAUAAGUCAGUGGUGAAAGCCCAUCGCUCAACGAUGGAACUGCCAUUGAUACUGUAAGACUUGAAUGCUUAGGAAGUAACUAGAAUAUGUAGUGUAGCGGUGAAAUGCUUAGAUAUUACAUGGAAUACCAAUUGCGAAGGCAGGUUACUACUAAGUGAUUGACGCUGANGACGAAAG